GGAGAUAGAACUACGAUUUUUGAAAGGACAGGAGACCGACAGUCGCCACCAUGGUUUGCUGUGCUGCCUGGGGAUGCUCAAAUCGCUCCGAGAAAGGAGUACGAAUGUACGGCUUCCCCACUGACACAGAGCGGAGGAAAAAAUGGCUGGCUCAAGUCAGCAGGAGCAAUUUCACGACCAACAGCAAAAAAAAUAUGUGAGGUUAUUAUAUACAAACACUGCAUUUGCACUUUUUCACAAAACGAAAACCACACCAUUGGGAAAGCUUAAUGUUUUGUUUAAUACAAAAAAACAGGGAAAGGCUUGAAAAACACAGAGUUGAGACUCAGGGUGCAGGGUGAGGGUCUCAGUGCAGGUAUUCAGGCUCCAUUGAAUCCCCCUCUGGUUCUUGUGCUGAAAGAGGGAGUAACAGACAGGAGAAAGGGUUAU